rnacentral:rRNA from 1 species
AGUGAACGCUGGCGGUAGGCCUAACACAUGCAAGUCGAACGGCAGCACAGUAAGAUCUUGCUCUUACGGGUGGCGAGUGGCGGACGGGUGAGGAAUACAUCGGAAUCUACUUUUUCGUGGGGGAUAACGUAGGUAAACUUACUCUAAUACCGCAUACGACCUUCCGUUGAAAGCAGGGGAUCUUCGGACCUUGCGCGAUUGAAUGAGCCGAUUUCGGAUUAGCUAGUUGGCGGGGUAAAGGCCCACCAAGGCGACGAUCCGUAGCUGGUCUGAGAGGAUGAUCAGCCACACUGGAACUGAGACACGGUCCAGACUACUACGGGAGGCAGCAGUGGGGAAUAUUGGACAAUGGGCGCAAGCCUGAUCCAGCCAUACCGCGUGGGAGGAGAAGGCCUUCGGGUUGUAAAGACCUUUUGUUGGGAAAGAAAAGCAGCAGGUUAAUACCCCGCUGUUCUGACGGUACCCAAAGAAUAAGCACCGGCUAACUUCGUG